AUACAGAGGGUGCGAGCGUUAAUCGGAAUUACUGGGCGUAAAGCGCGCGUAGGCGGCUACUUAAGUCAGAUGUGAAAUCCCCGGGCUCAACCUGGGAACUGCAUCUGAUACUGGGUAGCUAGAGUUUAGGAGAGGGAAGUAGAAUUUCAGGUGUAGCGGUGAAAUGCAUAGAGAUCUGAAGGAAUACCAGUGGCGAAGGCGGCUUCCUGGCCUAAAACUGACGCUGCGGUGCGAAAGCGUGGGUAGCAAACGGGAUUAGAUACCCCAGUAGUCC
rnacentral:rRNA from 1 species